CCUUUGUACCGGUCAUUUCUUCUUCUUGAAAAGCUGGGAUAAAGUUGACAGUCUUUAUAGAUGAAAGGAGGUGACAGUCGGGGUUAAUCCAAAUAAAUACUCACUCCUCUCUCAUAAAUUUUAGGCAACCUCAUCUUAACUUAAAAAAAAAAAAAAAAGAAAGAAAGAGGGGGAAAGAAAAAAAAAAAAAACAAGUCGCCAACAAUCCCAAAGCAUCACUUUGUGCUGAGCGGCAUCCCUUUUCUCACCCUCACCAGAUUCUGCGGGAGGGGGCGGGGACGCUCCACUGAUAAUACCAGCUUUAACUACUGGAGUUUCCCUUUGAACAAAUAUUCAAUUUAACUGGAGUUAAUUUACCAUAAAAGACAUUCCCCUUGGCACGAAUGCACUCAUGUCCUUGAACACACCUCUUUGAAUGCCUGGACUCUUACAGAAGCCAUUAUUUCGGGGUCUCUUUAAAAAUCCAGUGCCCAUCUCUCUGCCUCCCUCCCUCCCUCCCUCCCUCCCUCCCUCCCUCCUCACUACACCACCCCCAGCGAAAUCCUGGCACCCAGAGAGCACUCUUUUCAGCCAGAGCCCAGAACCAGCCGUUGUCCCCUGGCAAAAGAGGCCCAGUGCUGGGCCCUGGGCAAGUGUCUCCAGACAUCCCUACCUUUCUUUAUUAGUCCUCUUUCACAACAGAACCUAUUUCCUUUUGCCACUAAAACUACGUUGCAUCCAAAAGUUUCUCAUAAGCUUAAAAAAAAAAAGAAAAAUGAAAAACUGAUACCAUUAUACAGAAGAAUUCACAAAAGCUGCAGAGCGCCAGGGCAGAGAAACAGCAGCGUCAGACACAGGCCGACAGGACACACAGGACGAUGCUUCCAUGUCACGCCAGGGACAGAGUGAGGCCCUCACUGGCCUGUGUCGGAGAAGUUGCUUCUCAGCCCUCCCCCAGACCGCCCUUCCUCCCCCACCGAGCUUCUUCCCUGUAAAUGUCCCCAAGUCUCUAACUUUUCAGACUCAUUUUUGUUCUUCUGUUCUUCUCUACAAUUUGUGGACACAGAGCCUUUGGAAGAAGAUUGUGAUGGGCUAAAAGUUGUGAACCUUCUGCGGGCAAGGCCCGUACUUGGUACAGCAAAAGAAAUUCUAUAGCACCUGCUCCUGAGUCUAGGAAUCCCAAGUUAGCCAGCUCCCACUCUGUCCCAAGAGACAGACUCUCCUCCUCCACUACCAAGAAGCAGUAGAAUUUAAGAAAAGGGAUGAUCCCAUAUUGAAGGGACUUGAAAUUGUUACAUGGCAUUCCUGAGUUAAGUUCUAAAAUACAGUUCCCUUAUUCAUAAGAAAAAUUGAAAAUUGACAUAAAACAUGGACAAAACUAUUCAUAGCAUCGGUGGGACUAGGAUAUAGUUCAGUCAUGGAAUGCUUGUAUAGCAAUGAGCGUGGUCCAAGGCUCAAUCCCCGGCACUGGGAAAGAAAAGUGGGAGGGGAGGAGGUGUCCACAGCAGCGUUUCCAGUAUAGGCAGAAAGGGGAAAGAAUUCAAACGCCUACCGAUGAACGGGUGAGCGUAAAGUGGUACAUGUAUAUAAUGGAAUACUAGCAAGCAGCAGAAAGCUAUGACAUGAUAGAGAUGGCAGCAUGGGUGACUUUUUAAACAUCUUCCUAAGUAGCAGUAACAAUCAAAAGGGAAGGCAUCCACUCCAUAUUUCUGGAUUAUAUAGGCAUACUACAUAUAGAGAAAACAGAACGGUGGUUGGCUGGGACUUGGAGAGAGGGACUGGACUUUGGGAGAUAGAAGAACGGUAAAGAAUUUCUCUGGGUGGUGAUGAAAAUGUUCUUGAAUUGGUUGAAAUGAUGGUUGCACUUGAUAACUGCAUUUAAAGACCACUGAAUUUUACUUGUAAAUGGGAGAAUUGCAUGGUGCACAGAUUAUACGUCAAUAAAGCUAAUAUUUUUAAAAAGAUA